rnacentral:rRNA from 1 species
UGAGGAAUAUUGCACAAUGGGCGAAAGCCUGAUGCAGCGACGCCGCGUGGAGGAUGAAGGUCUUCGGAUUGUAAACUCCUGUUAAGUGAGAAAAAAGAACCGCUUUUAAUAGAAGCGGGAGAUGAUGUUAUCACUAGAGAAAGCACCGGCUAACUUCGUGCCAGCAGCCGCGGUAAUACGAGGGGUGCAAGCGUUAUUCGGAAUUACUGGGCGUAAAGGAUGCGUAGACGGUUUGUUAAGUCUUUUGUUAAAUCCCCCGGCCUAACCGGGGACAGGCAAAGGAAACUGGCAGACUAGAGGGUUAAAGAGAGGAGUGGAAUUCUCGGAGUAGCGGUAAAAUGCGUAGAUCUCGAGAGGAACACCAAUGGCGAAGGCAGCUCCUUGGUUAACACCUGACGUUGAGGCAUGAAAGCGUGGGGAGCAAACAGG